rnacentral:rRNA from 1 species
UACGUAGGGGUCGAGCGUUGUCCGGAGUUACUGGGCGUAAAGCGUGCGCAGGCGGCUCAUCGCGCUCGGCGUGAAAGCCCCCGGCUCAACCGGGGAGGGUCGUCGAGGACGGGUGAGCUUGAGGGUAUCAGGGGUUGGUGGAAUUCCCGGUGUAGUGGUGAAAUGCGUAGAUAUUGGGAAGAACACCGGUGGCGAAGGCGGCUCACUGGCUCGUAUCUGACGCUCAGGCGCGACAGCGUGGGGAUCAAACAGG